GCGUAACGCGUGAGCGACAUGCCCGUUGCCCGGGGACAACCGGUGGAAACGCCGACUAAUCCCCGAUGGGAUACGAUGCUUCAUGGCAUUGUAUUGAAAGUUACGGCGGCGACGGAUUGGCUCGCGUCCGAUUAGCUUGUUGGCGGGGUAACGGCCCACCAAGGCUACGAUCGGUAGGGGUUCUGAGAGGAAGGCCCCCCACAAUGGGACUGAGACACGGCCCAUACUCCUACGGGAGGCAGCAGUGAGGAAUAUUGGUCAAUGGGCGGAAGCCUGAACCAGCCAUGCCGCGUGCGGGAAGGAGGCCCUAUGGGCUGUGAACCGCUUUUGCCUGGGGGCAAUAAGGGCGUCGCGCACGCCCGAUGAGAGUACCAGGCGAAUAAGCAUCGGCUAACUCCGUGCCAGCAGCCGCGGUAAUACGGGGGAUGCGAGCGUUAUCCGGAUUCAUUGGGUUUAAAGGGUGCGUAGGCUGUGCGUCAAGUCGGGGGUGAAAUUCCGGUGCUCAACACCGGGGCUGCCCUUGAUACUGUCGCGCUGGAGUGCGGAUGCCGCCGGAGGAAUGAGUGGUGUA
rnacentral:rRNA from 1 species